rnacentral:rRNA from 1 species
AUUGAACGCUGGCGGCAGGCCUAACACAUGCAAGUCGAACGAGUGGCGGACGGGAGAGUAAUGUCUGUGACACUGCCUGAGGGAGGGGGAUAACUACUGGAAACGGUAGCUAAUACCGCAUACCAUCGGAUGUGCCCGAAUGGGAUUAGGUAGUUGGUGGGGUAAAGGUACACCAAGGCGACGAUCCCUAGCUGGGCUGAGAGGAUGACCAGCCACACUGGAACUGAGACACGGUCCAGACUCCUACGGGAGGCAGCAGUGGGGAAUAUUGCACAAUGGGCGAAAGCCUGAUGCAGCCAGGCCGCGUGUAUGAAGAAGGCCUUCGGGUUGUAAAGUACUUUAAGCGGGGAGGCGUUACCCGCAGAAUAAGCACCGGCUAACUCCGUGCCAGCAGCCGCGGUAAUAC